GACGAACGCUGGCGGCGUGCUUAAAAACAUGCAAGUCGAACGGACUUCUCAUGAAGCUUGCGAUUGAGAAGUUAGUGGCGGACGGGUGAGUAACGCGUGGGCAACCUGCCCCUGAGCCCGGGAUAACAGUUCGAAAGGACUGCUAAGACCGGAUAUACUUGCGGUGAAGCAUUUCACUGCAAGGAAAGGGAACGCUCAGGGAUGGGCCCGCGUCCCAUUAGCUAGUUGGUGAGGUAACGGCCCACCAAGGCGACGAUGGGUAGCCGGCCUGAGAGGGUGAACGGCCACACUGGGACUGAGACACGGCCCAGACUCCUACGGGAGGCAGCAGCUAAGAAUAUUCCGCAAUGGGCGCAAGCCUGACGGAGCAACGCCGCGUGAGUGAAGAAGGCCUUCGGUUGUAAAACUCUGUCAUCAGGGAAGAAGAAAGUGACGGUACCUGAGGAGGAAGCCCCGGCUAACUACGUG
rnacentral:rRNA from 1 species